UGUUUGUGUGUGUGUGUGUGUGUGUGUGUGUAUAUAUCUCUCUCACACACACACACACACACACACACACAAU
rnacentral:miRNA from 1 species